rnacentral:rRNA from 1 species
CCUACGGGAGGCAGCAGUGAGGAAUAUUGGUCAAUGGGCGCGAGCCUGAACCAGCCAAGUAGCGUGAAGGAUGACUGCCCUACGGGUUGUAAACUUCUUUUAUAAAGGAAUAAAGUGAGGCACGUGUGCCUUUUUGUAUGUACCUUAUGAAUAAGGAUCGGCUAACUCCGUGCCAGCAGCCGCGGUAAUACGGAGGAUCCGAGCGUUAUCCGGAUUUAUUGGGUUUAAAGGGAGCGUAGGUGGGUUGUUAAGUCAGUUGUGAAAGUUUGCGGCUCAACCGUAAAAUUGCAAUUGAUACUGGCAGGCUAGAGUACAGUUGAGGUAGGCGGAAUUCGUGGUGUAGCGGUGAAAUGCUUAGAUAUCACGAAGAACACCGAUUGCGAAGGCAGCUUACUAAACUGCAACUGACAUUGAUGCACGAAAGUGUGGGUAUCAAACAGGAUUAGAUACCCCGGUAGUC